GAAUAGUACUACCUCAAUGGCGGCUAUAAUUUCGCGACACUACACGUAAAUUAACAAAGCUCAAGGUUACUAUUUUAAUGUAGUGGAAAUUUCAAAGUAGAGUUCCUCAGUAUUAGCAGGGGGGAGUCUACUAAUAGUAUCCAUGAACCAGGUGGUUAUGCUAGAUUGGACAACAGUUAAACCUAUCCUCCACAAGCAAGAACAGUCUUACCAAUGCAAUUUCCAUCUACCAAAUUUCUUUCACAAGGUUUUGGUAGAAGAAACUUGCUCAAGGUACCACACAAUGAGGUUGAACUUGAAAUCUGUGGUGUUUGUGGUGUUAUGGGCUGUGAUGAGCUAUGUGGUGUUGGUGGAGAGGAUUGCAGAUGAGGCAAACGGAAGUGAAGACUGCAGGGGCUGGCAGAAGAGCCAUGGGGGCACAAAGAACGCGCGGGCAAUUCAAUGAGAGACGGCAUGUGUGAAAGGUCGUGUUUUUAUCUGGUCAGUGAUCACUCAUCCCGCCACGGUCAACAGAAAAAGAAAAAGGAUGAGAAAGUGGAUUAGAGAGAAAACAAGGAGAAAGGCCUAGAGACGGGCAAGAGAGGUUAAACAGCACAGUCAAAGCUUCCAUUAUAGAAUGUUUUUGCGUAGUGGAUUUUCUUUUUUUAUUAUAAGUUAAUUUGAAGAUGUUGAAAAAGAUUACAUUCAUACAUUCAUACUUAGAAACAAUACAAAGGAAUAUAUGGACAUACGUUCAUACAAUAUUAGUUGCUAAUUUUGUUACUGUAUUUCAUUUUUUUUACCAAAAUAACCAAAAUACAGUUCUAUUAUGAAAUUUUCAAGUAGCGAGAACUCAAAAAUAGAUUUGUAACAACUAAUCUUCUAUUGUCAGAGACCAAUAAUACUGGUAUUUGAUACUGUUAUCUAUGUUAGUCUUUACCUAAAGUUCCAUACAGCCUUGGAUCCGGAACCAGAAAUAUUAACAUCCCAAAAUUCAACCAAGAUGAAAUCUCAAGAAGCCUAAUCCAUAGAAAUUACUUCCUUGAACCCAAACCUUUAAGGAGACUCAGUCCUCUUAAAGUUCUCUUCAAUGAAUAUAUUACAAUUUAUGAGAGUCUUAAUCAACAAGUAUUCAAAUACAAAUGCAGUAGCAAAGCUUGGCAUUUUCAGUGAAUGCUUGGCAAAUGGUUCAAAUUUAUAUGAUAAUGCCACUUUCACUCUUCCCUAACAUGUUGCACAUAAAUAUUAUCCACAUGCAAACUGUUGAAGCUUCACUGGUUCCAUGAAGAACUGCUUCAAAACAUUCUACAAUGAUAUCAUGUUAAUCCUUCAACAGCACAGAAGUACAAACAUAUUUUUAAAAAUUGAACUACAUGCAACUAGAAUUUCUAAAGGCACAACAAAUUCUGAGCACUUUCUAACACUGAUGACCUCUCAUCCUCAACACAGCAAAAACUAGCAUUCCUCUUUGGGCUAGAAAAUGUUUAAGCAUCUAACAGUUACUAACACUUUACAAAGCUCAUGUGACCUGCAAUGGAGUAUUUAUCCCACAUCUUAGACAAUGCUAAUAAUAAACAUAUAAACAUCCAACACCACAUCUAAAUAUAGGUCACAUGACUAUUUGGUAUGAAGUCACUCAUUAACACACUCCAGCCUCUGGUCCACAAAUAUACUACCUCCUCUAUUCUACCCUCAUUACUGUGGAUUCUAUUUAUCAAAAUUAUCUGGUCUUGUGCCACCUUCACUCUCCCUUUGUGUUUCCACUCUACCUGAAGCAAAACAUUUUAUUCCUGUACUCCCUUCUUGGAGUGUCAGCUCACUAGAAACCCCUCGCUACUCUUAAUUUUUUUUUUUUUUUUCCUUUGCAGUUGUUCAAGAGCAAAAUCAACCACAUCAACUUCACCUGUUUCAAAGGCCCUUUCCUCCAUACCAUGCUAUUAAAAAUUUUUUUUAAAUUUCGUUAUUUUUAUUUUUAUUAUUUGAACUCUGGUUGUUGAAAAAUAUUGAAUAAUUUCAUUUUAAAAUAAUGAAAUAAAAUAUUCUUAGGAAAA